rnacentral:piRNA from 1 species
UGUUACGAUGGUAUAGGGAAGAAUGUGAA